rfam:Vibrio nigripulchritudo str. SFn1 chromosome, complete genome.
UUUCGCAUUGGGCUUGUUAUCCACAAUGGCAUUGCCAACCGCAUGCAACAGGUGGGUUUUACCUAAACCUGUGCCACCGUA